rnacentral:lncRNA from 1 species
CUCUUCCCAUGCAGUGUGCUUACAUAAACAUGGCAGGAAUACAUCUUUCAUUAACUUUUAUAAAUCAGUGAAAUCCCUGGGUGGCUCAGUGGUUUAGCACCUGCCUUUGGCCCAGGGUGCGAUCCUGGAGUCCCAGGAUGCAGUCUCAUGUCAGGCUCCCUGCAUGGAGCCUGCUUCUCCUCUGUGUCUCUGCCUCUCUCUUUCCUCUGUGUCUCUCAUGAAUAAAUAAAUAAAAUCUUUUAAAAAAAAUAAAGGAGGAACAUUAAAAAAAAAAAACUUUUAUAAAUCAAUAUCCCAAAACAAAGCACAUCCAAAAUAAUUCUCUCUCACACACACAAAUUACAGUGUUCUUUAUGGGCACAGACCAACACAAGCUGAAAAAAAAAAAUCACUAUUUGGAUUUUUUUGCUUCCCUUCAGCCUGUUCAACAGAGUUAUGAAAGGUGAAAAUAAUGUAUAGAAGAUAUUCAUGAUCAUACCCAGCCCCCUUUCCUCUCUUCUUGCUCUGGGUUCCUGGACGAGGUAGUCUUAAGUAGUCUGCGUCUCCGCCUCUCUUACUGCUAGGUUCUAACCACGUGUCCUAUCUGUCUGCCUGCAGGUUACUUCUCAGGCUGAAUAAAAUCCAUGGGUACAUUCAGUGCCUAACCUGAAUCAGUAAAAAGAAAAAAAGGGGGGUGGGGGGCAUCUUGCAUUAUUCUGGGCCUCCAAUAAAGAGUACCCGAAUCAAACCCAUGAGUAAACAAACAAAACAAAACAGUAGGGUUCAGGUAAAAAACCAGUAAAAUGCAAUUUUUAACAUGACUGGCUCUUGACAUUAACCUGGCUGUUGACUCUGAAAGAGCUCAAGACCGAGCGCAAUGAAAUCCUAGACGGUUCUCAGAAACACACCGCACGGUACCGCCUGGGUUAAUGUAAUAUUCGAGUAGUCGAGGACCACAAGAGGGCCACAGGAGAACGCCAGGCCGUCUCCCAGCCCCGUGCAGGGUUUUCUGUUGUUCCCAAGCGGCCGAGUUUUCUGGAGGGCUGUUUUGCCCUGUUUUGCCUUGAAAUGCAAAAUUUCCUGCAGGUCGGAGCCUGCACUUCUCUUUGCACGUCGAGGGGCACUCGUACAAACAGGGGUUUUCAAAAGUGCUCUGCAGAGGUCCCCUGCGGACGCACCGGACACGGCGGGGCGGGGGUGGGGGAUCCGGGGGGGCAGCCCCCUGGCGUCUCCCGUCUGACCCGAAGGCACCUGCCGCUGGAAUUCUCCGCGUGCUCGUCCUCCUUAGGGCCGCUUCGUCUCCCCGAGUCCCACGUUAUCCCGUCCUGAGAGUCCCUGUGGCACAACCUCGGCCCCUCCGCUUGGCCGCCGCGUCCAACACUGCGCGGAACCUGAGCCCUGAAAGUCGACCGCACGGAGGAGGACCAGGGCUUCUCUGCUCGCCUCCCCGCUUCCC